rnacentral:rRNA from 1 species
UACGUAGGGACCGAGCGUUGUCCGGAUUCAUUGGGCGUAAAGAGCUCGUAGGCGGCUGCUCAAGUCGAAUGUGAAAACUCGAGGCUCAACCUCGAGCCUGCAUUCGAUACUGGGCGGCUAGAGUCUGGUAGGGGGAUCUGGAAUUCCUGGUGUAGCGGUGGAAUGCGCAGAUAUCAGGAGGAACACCGGUGGCGAGGGCAGCUCGCUGGGACGUUACUGACACUGAGGCGCGAAGGCAUGGGGAGCGAACAGG